rnacentral:rRNA from 1 species
UACGGAGGGUGCAAACGUUGCUCGGAAUCAUUGGGCGUAAAGCGCGCGUAGGCGGCUUGGCAAGUUGGAUGUGAAAGCCCUGGGCUCAACCCAGGAUGUGCAUUCAAAACUGCCAAGCUUGAAUCUCGGAGGGGGUCAGGGAAUUCCCGGUGUAGAGGUGAAAUUCGUAGAUAUCGGGAGGAACACCAGUGGCGAAGGCGCUGACCUGGACGAAGAUUGACGCUGAGGCGCGAAAGCGUGGGGAGCAAAC